AUUGAACGCUGGCGGCAGGCUUAACACAUGCAAGUCGAACGAGUGGCGGACGGGUGAGUACUGCUUGGGAAUCUAGCUUAUGGAGGGGGAUAACUAAGGGAAACUGUAGCUAAUACCGCGUACCAUAGGAUGAGCCCCAGUGGGAUUAGGUAGUUGGUGAGGUAAAGGCUCACCAAGCGGACGAUCUCUAGCUGGUCUGAGAGGAUGACCAGCCACACUGGGACUGAGACACGGCCCAGACUCCGACGUGAGGCAGCAGUGGGGAAUAGUGCGCAAUGGGCGCAAGCCUGAUGCAGCCAGGCCGCGUGUAUGAAGAAGGCCUUCGGGUUGUAAAGUACUGUCAGUCGGGAGGCGUUACCGACAGAAGAAGCACCGGCUAACUCCGUGCCAGCAGCCGCGGUAAUAC
rnacentral:rRNA from 1 species